rnacentral:rRNA from 1 species
GACGAACGCUGGCGGCGUGCCUAACACAUGCAAGUCGAGCGGAGAUUGCAGCAAUGCAAUCUUAGCGGCGGACGGGUGAGUAACGCGUGGGCAACCUGCCUUUUACUGGGGGAUAACACAGGGAAACUUGUGCUAAUACCGCAUAACAUCAUGAGAGGACAUCCUUUUAUGAUCAAAGGAGCAAUCCGGUAGAAGAUGGGCCCGCGUCCGAUUAGCUAGUUGGUGAUGUAACGGACCACCAAGGCGACGAUCGGUAGCCGAACUGAGAGGUUGAUCGGCCACAUUGGGACUGAGACACGGCCCAGACUCCUACGGGAGGCAGCAGUGGGGAAUAUUGCGCAAUGGGGGAAACCCUGACGCAGCAACGCCGCGUGAAGGAUGAAGGUUUUCGGAUCGUAAACUUCUUUGAUGAGGGACGAAAAAUGACGGUACCUCAAAAACAAGCCACGGCUAACUACGUGCCAGCAGCCGCGGUAAUACGUAGGUGGCGAGCGUUGUCCGGAAUUACUGGGUGUAAAGGGCGUGUAGGCGGGAGUGCAAGUCAGAUGUGAAAUACCGUGGCUUAACCACGGGGCUGCAUCUGAAACUGUGCUUCUUGAGUGUCGGAGAGGAAAGUGGAAUUCCCAGUGUAGCGGUGAAAUGCGUAGAUAUUGGGAGGAACACCAGUGGCGAAGGCGACUUUCUGGACGAUAACUGACGCUGAGGCGCGAAAGCGUGGGGAGCAAACAGGAUUAGAUACCCUGGUAGUCCACGCUGUAAACGAUGGAUACUAGGUGUGGGAGGUAUCGACCCCUUCCGUGCCGGAGUUAACACAAUAAAGACUGCCGGUGGGGAGUACGGUCGCAAGACUGAAACUCAAAGGAAUUGACGGGGNCCCGCACAAGCAGUGGAGUAUGUGGUUUAAUUCGAAGCAACGCGAAGAACCUUACCAGGUCUUGACAUCCCAAUGAAAGCAUUAGAGAUAGUGCCCCUCNUUCGGAGCAUUGGAGACAGGUGGUGCAUGGUUGUCGUCAGCUCGUGUCGUGAGAUGUUGGGUUAAGUCCCGCAACGAGCGCANCCCUUGAUCUUAGUNGCCAGCACGUUAAGGUGGGCACUCUAGGAUGACUGCCGGUGACAAACCGGAGGAAGGUGGGGAUGACGUCAAAUCAUCAUGCCCCUUAUGACCUGGGCUACACACGUACUACAAUGGCCGAUACAACGGGAAGCGAAACCGCGAGGUGGAGCCAAUCCUAUCAAAGUCGGUCUCAGUUCGGAUUGCAGGCUGCAGCU